CUUAUAUGGAGAGUUUGAUCCUGGCUCAGGACGAACGCUGGCGGCGUGCCUAAUACAUGCAAGUC
rnacentral:rRNA from 1 species